rnacentral:tRNA from 1 species
CUGCGGCCGAGGCUCCGGAGCCCGCCGCCGACGCGGCGACGACCGAUGCCCCGGCGUCCGACUCCCCGGCCGCAGCCC